UUUACUUUUUACUUAUAAUAUUUGACUCUUCAUCUUAUUAAAAAAAUUACGAUUAAUAUUUUUGUUUUUAUUAGAUGAUAAAUUAUGAAUAGUAAUUAACAUGUGACUAAUUUUUUAAGUUUCAUAAAAAAAUUUAAAUAAGACGGACGGUCAAACACUCUACACGGAAACCGAAGAGUUGGUUUAUU
rnacentral:pre_miRNA from 1 species